rnacentral:rRNA from 1 species
GAUGAACGCUGGCGGCGUGCUUAACACAUGCAAGUCGAACGAACCUUCGGGUUAGUGGCGGACGGGUGAGUAACGCGUGAGAAUCUGCCCUCAGGAGGGGGAUAACGGCUGGAAACGGCCGCUAAUACCCCAUAUGCCGAGAGGUGAAAUGAAUUUCGCCUGAGGAUGAGCUCGCGUCUGAUUAGCUAGUUGGUGGGGUAAGAGCCUACCAAGGCUUCGAUCAGUAGCUGGUCUGAGAGGAUGAUCAGCCACACUGGGACUGAGACACGGCCCAGACUCCUACGGGAGGCAGCAGUGGGGAAUUUUCCGCAAUGGGCGAAAGCCUGACGGAGCAACGCCGCGUGAGGGAUGAAGGCCUCUGGGCUGUAAACCUCUUUUCUCAAGGAAGAAGAUCUGACGGUAC